UACAGAGGUCUCAAGCGUUGUUCGGAUUCAUUGGGCGUAAAGGGUGCGUAGGCGGCGCGGUAAGUCGGGUGUGAAAUCUCGGGGCUUAACUCCGAAACUGCAUUCGAUACUGCCGUGCUUGAGGACUGGAGAGGAGACUGGAAUUUACGGUGUAGCGGUGAAAUGCGUAGAUAUCGUAAGGAAGACCAGUGGCGAAGGCAGCUCGCUGGGACGGUACUGACGCUAAGGCGCGAAAGCGUGGGGAGCAAACAGG
rnacentral:rRNA from 1 species